UACGAAGGGGGCUAGCGUUGCUCGGAAUUACUGGGCGUAAAGCGCACGUAGGCGGCUUUUUAAGUCGGGGGUGAAAUCCUGGAGCUCAACUCCAGAACUGCCCUCGAUACUGGGAAGCUUGAGUUCGGGAGAGGUGAGUGGAACUGCGAGUGUAGAGGUGAAAUUCGUAGAUAUUCGCAAGAACACCAGUGGCGAAGGCGGCUCACUGGCCCGAUACUGACGCUGAGGUGCGAAAGCGUGGGGAGCAAACAGG
rnacentral:rRNA from 1 species